GCAAGUCGAGCGGUAACAGAGGUAGCUUGCUCUCUGGCUGACGAGUGGCGGACGGGUGAGUACAACAUAGGAAUCUAUCCAGUAGCUGGGGAUAACGUGUGGAAACGCACGCUAAUACCGAAUACGCACUACGGUGGAAAGAGGGGGAUCUUCGGACCUCUCACUAUCGGGUGAGCCUAUGCCGGAUUAGCUAGUUGGUGGGGUAAUGGCCUACCAAGGCAACGAUCCGUAGCUGUUCUGAGAGGAAGAGC
rnacentral:rRNA from 1 species